rnacentral:misc_RNA from 1 species
AGCUCUUUAUCGUCCAUAUACCUCCUAAAAUCCUGAUAAUCCACCCGUCCAUCCCUAUUUGCAUCGCAAACUUUCAACAAAUCGUUAGCGUAUUUAUAUUCCGCCGGAAUCUGCAACGCCGACAACCCUGCGAUCUGCGCAUAAUCCAAGUAUCCAGCAUUCGCGGCGUCAAAGAAAUUAAACAGACUCCGUAAUCUGACAUCCCUCUCUUCUUUGGUUUCUCGCAAUGCCAACAGCACAUGAUCCAUGGAGACAGAACCCGGCUUCUUAACCUGAUUGCAACACCCGGAGCUGUUGGGGUUUGUCUCCAUCUCCGGCAACCCAACACGGUGCUCGACGGCGUGACCAGCUCCGGACAUGAUAGAAAUUCCCAAAUUGCAGAAACGCUAAUUGUGGGGUAGGGGUAGGGACAUGAGUUGCAUUAAAGGAGGUUUUUUUUUUUUGCCCUGUUUGUUGGUAUAAAUCUCUGGGUGGUUGACAACAGUAAUUAAUAAGGAAACAAUUAA